UACGUAGGGUGCGAGCGUUAAUCGGAAUUACUGGGCGUAAAGCGUGCGCAGGCGGCGCGUUAAGACAGGUGUGAAAACCCCGAGCUUAACUUGGGAAUUGCGCUUGUGACUGGCGUGCUGGAGUGUGGCAGAGGGAGGUGGAAUUCCACGUGUAGCAGUGAAAUGCGUAGAGAUGUGGAGGAACACCGAUGGCGAAGGCAGCCUCCUGGGCCAACACUGACGCUCAUGCACGAAAGCGUGGGGAGCAAACAGG
rnacentral:rRNA from 1 species